rnacentral:rRNA from 1 species
GUACCCUUCUCUACGGAAUAGCCUCGGGAAACUGAGAGUAAUACCGUAUACGCCCUUCGGGGGAAAGAUUUAUCGGAGAAGGAUCAGCCCGCGUAAGAUUAGAUAGUUGGUGGGGUAAUGGCCUACCAAGUCUACGAUCUUUAGCUGGUUUUAGAGGAUGAUCAGCAACACUGGGACUGAGACACGGCCCAGACUCCUACGGGAGGCAGCAGUGGGGAAUCUUGGACAAUGGGCGCAAGCCUGAUCCAGCCAUGCCGCGUGUGUGAUGAAGGCCUUAGGGUCGUAAAGCACUUUCGCUAGAGAUGAUAAUGACAGUAUCUAGUAAAGAAGUCCCGGCUAACUCCGUGCCAGCAGCCGCGGUAAUACGGAGGGGACUAGCGUUGUUCGGAAUUACUGGGCGUAAAGCGUACGUAGGCGGAUCAGAAAGUAUGGGGUGAAAUCCCAGGGCUCAACCCUGGAACUGCCUCAUAAACUCCUGGUCUAGAGUUCGGGAGAGGUGAGUGGAAUUCCGAGUGUAGAGGUGAAAUUCGUAGAUAUUCGGAGGAACACCAGUGGCGAAGGCGGCUCACUGGCUCGAUACUGACGCUGAGGUACGAAAGUGUGGGGAGCAAACAGGAUUAGAUACCCUGG